UACAGAGGGGGCGAGCGUUGUUCGGAAUUACUGGGCGUAAAGGGCGCGUAGGCGGCGCGGUAAGUCACUUGUGAAAUCUCUGAGCUUAACUCAGAACGGCCAAGUGAUACUGCAGUGCUAGAGUGUGGAAGGGGCAAUCGGAAUUCUUGGUGUAGCGGUGAAAUGCGUAGAUAUCAAGAGGAACACCUGAGGUGAAGACGGGUUGCUGGGCCAACACUGACGCUGAUGCGCGAAAGCCAGGGGAGCAAACGGG
rnacentral:rRNA from 1 species